GCCCCGUCGACGCGUCGUCUACUCUGGUGGUGUGUUCUUUUCUGGCCUGAAGUUUGCUGUGAUGAUGCCCGUCAUGCCUCCCUUUCAACACUCUCAACUGCAAUUCUCAGCUUCGUUUGCGGCUUUUGAUCCUGCUGUACGCUAGCCGAGGACUGUUUGCUCUAUCUACAAAACAUUCCGUAAGAAGAAAAUCAUCAUCUCUGCCUCGUGCUAUGUCCUCUUCACCGACGUUGCUCUUUCCGUCCGGAUGACGCGAUUGCUUCUAAUAUCAUGGCGCUCGCCGGCCUCGGCUUCUAACUACGACUUCACCAUAAACAUGGUUGUGAAGAGUUGAAGGAAAUCGUGAUCCGUAUCAGUUCGCCUCUAUUUCGGAAGCAUCCCAAAAAUCGCUCCAGAUCCAUGACUCUUGGCCAAGUGUUACUGAAGACCGAAUGCUUUUCAGGAGCUUGCAAUCUAUCCUUCAUGGAGCAGUCUCUCCACCACCAAGCUUGGUAUCACUGAAACCACCAGGUCGAUAUGGGUCAACAAUCUGGAUAAAGACAUUGGGAAAUUCAGAUGGUGUGUCUGCAUGUUUGAUUAUGAAGUCUGGUUUCUCACGCACGCAGGCCCUGUAACCCUACUGGAAAUGCGUCUGAUCUCCUACCCUGACGUUGAGAGAAGUUGAUGAUCCUGUUCUUUUGCUAUGUAAUCCUAUUCACCUUUUUGGAUCUUCUUGUUUUUGGAAAAUAUCUUCAGUACCUUUGUUUGCAAUAAUCAUGAUUGCACAUCAGCUCCAAUCCAGUACAAUUUUCUCCGUGUUCAUGUGUGAUAUUCAGGCCAUGUUACAUCCGGUUUUA